UCAAUAGCGGCCACAGCAGGUGUGUCACACCCGUUCCCAUUCCGAACACGGAAGUUAAGACACCUCACGUGGAUGACGGUACUGAGGUACGCGAGUCCUCGGGAAAUCAUCCUCGCUGCUAUUGUU
rnacentral:rRNA from 1 species